rnacentral:rRNA from 1 species
UCUUAAUUCCAGCUCCAAUAGUGUAUAUUAGAGUUGUUGCAGUUAAAAAGCUCGUAGUUGGAUUUCUGCUGUGGUCAUCCGGUACCGCCCGUACGGGUGCGCACCUGGUUUGGUUGCGGCUUUCUUCCUGUAACCUUCCGCGCUUAAUUGCGUGUGUUGUGUUGCGGAACUUUUACUUUGAGAAAAAUAGAGUGUUUCAAGCAGGCUUGUCGCCCUGAAUACUUCAGCAUGGAAUAAUAGGAUAGGACCUUGGUUCUAUUUUGUUGGUUUCUAGGACCAAGGUAAUGAUUAAUAGGGACAGUUGGGGGCAUUCGUAUUUAACUGUCAGAGGUGAAAUUCUUAGAUUUGUUAACGACGAACUACUGCGAAAGCAUUUGCCAAGGAUGUUUUCAUUAAUCAAGAACGACAGUAGGGGGUUUGAAGACGAUUAGAUACCGUCGUAAUCUCUACCAUAGCGUGACUACACAACAAAAAA